GACGAACGCUGGCGGCGUGCUUAACACAUGCAAGUCGAGCGGAAAGGCCCUUUCGGGGGUACUCGAGCGGCGAACGGGUGAGUAACACGUGAGUAAUCUGCCCUUCACUUGGGGAUAACCUCCGGAAACGGUGGCUAAUACCCGAUACGACCAUUCCUCGCAUGAGGUGGUGGUGGAAAGUUUUUCGGUGGGGGAUGUGCUCGCGGCCUAUCAGCUUGUUGGUGGGGUAAUGGCCUACCAAGGCUUCGACGGGUAGCCGGCCUGAGAGGGUGACCGGCCACACUGGGACUGAGACACGGCCCAGACUCCUACGGGAGGCAGCAGUGGGGAAUAUUGGACAAUGGGCGGAAGCCUGAUCCAGCAACGCCGCGUGAGGGAUGACGGCCUUCGGGUUGUAAACCUCCUUCACCUGUGACGAAGCGAAAGUGACGGUAGCAGGAGAAGAAGCACCGGCCAACUACGUG
rnacentral:rRNA from 1 species